UGGCCAUGUCUCGGCGAAACUCCGUUUCCCGGACGAUUACUGAAGUUAAGCGACGUCGAGCUUGGUCAGUAGCUAGAUGGGUGACCGCUUGGGAAUACCAGGUACUGCAGG
rnacentral:rRNA from 1 species